rnacentral:lncRNA from 1 species
CGAUCCGCCCACUGGAUCAGCGUUAGCUAAGAUCCAGCUACCGCUGGACUUUUAGGCAUUAACAGAUUGUUAUACAGAAACACCAAGGAGAUUUGUUUAUGCAACUCCUGCUACUGACUCAACUUUUGAGUUAUGGUGUAUUACACUUAUGUCCUAACUGCGGUUCGGUUGCUUGAAUCGGUCAAAUUGCAGUAUUUAAACAUUGUGAGGUUAGUGGCAUCAUAAUGCCCUCGUAUGCAAUUUGUAAAAGUUCGGAAAUUUCAAAGCAAUAUAGC